rnacentral:rRNA from 1 species
CCUACGGGAGGCAGCAGUGAGGAAUAUUGGUCAAUGGACGCAAGCCUGAACCAGCCAUGUCGCGUGAAGGAUGACUGCCCUACGGGUUGUAAACUUCUUUUAUACAGGGGUAAAGUGAGGCACGUGUGCCGGUUUGUAUGUAUUUUAUGAAUAAGGAUCGGCUAACUCCGUGCCAGCAGCCGCGGUAAUACGGAGGAUCCGAGCGUUAUCCGGAUUUAUUGGGUUUAAAGGGUGCGUAGACGGGUUGUUAAGUCAGUUGUGAAAGGUUGCGGCUCAACCGUAAAAUUGCAAUUGAUACUGGUAGCCUUGAGAAUAGUUGCGGUAGGCGGAAUUGGUGGUGUAGCGGUGAAAUGCUUAGAUAUCACGAAGAACUCCGAUUGCGAAGGCAGCCUACUAAACCGUUACUGACAUUGAGGCUCGAAAGUGUGGGUAUCGAACAGGAUUAGAUACCCGUGUAGUC